UCCGCAUUGCACACGCGCUUUGCUAUUUUUUUUAAUUCUGCUCGUCGCCUUUUUCGAUGGCGUCAGGCCAUCUCUGUAGCUAACUAAUUCAUGGCGCUGCUGCUCGCUAAGUGUUUGAGAGUAAGAUAAUUUGAAGGGAGUUCUUUCUGCGCUUGCAUUUUCCCGUCAUUGUUUUAUCGAAGGUUCAUGCAGGACAAGCACCUCUGCUGCUUCUGUAGAUGAGAAAUAAUCGCCUCUACAGUUUCCACGAGUUCGGGCUUUCCAGCUAUGAACGAGAAAGGAAGAUGAUAAGAGAAAUUGCCAUGACAAUGCAGCAUAUUCCAAACCCAAUACUCCAGCCAAUAUUCUCCUCA